rnacentral:SRP_RNA from 1 species
AGCCGGGUCCCGCGCAACGAGGUGUGACAAACUCCGCCAGGUCCGGAAGGAAGCAACGGUAGUCAUUUCCUUCGUGUGCCGCGGGGGCGCCUGGCUGCC